rnacentral:rRNA from 1 species
UUGACCUCAGUUCAGACAAGGCUACCCGCCGAAUUUAAGCAUAUUACUAAGCGGAGGAAAAGAAACUAACAAGGA